UACGUAGGGGGCAAGCGUUGUCCGGAAUCAUUGGGCGUAAAGAGCGUGUAGGCGGUCCGGUAAGUCCGUCGUGAAAGUCUAGGGCUCAACCCUGGAAUGCUGGUGGAUACUGCCGGGCUAGAGUCCGGAAGAGGCGAGUGGAAUUCCUGGUGUAGCGGUGAAAUGCGCAGAUAUCAGGAGGAACACCUAUGGCGAAGGCAGCUCGCUGGGACGGUACUGACGCUGAGACGCGAAAGCGUGGGGAGCAAACAGG
rnacentral:rRNA from 1 species